AUUGAACGCUGGCGGCAGGCUUAACACAUGCAAGUCGAGCGGAGAUGAGGUGCUUGCACCUUAUCUUAGCGGCGGACGGGUGAGUAAUGCUUAGGAAUCUGCCUAUUAGUGGGGGACGACAUUCCGAAAGGAAUGCUAAUACCGCAUACGUCCUACGGGAGAAAGCAGGGGAUCUUCGGACCUUGCGCUAAUAGAUGAGCCUAAGUCGGAUUAGCUAGUUGGUGGGGUAAAGGCCUACCAAGGCGACGAUCUGUAGCGGGUCUGAGAGGAUGAUCCGCCACACUGGGACUGGGACAGGGGCCGGACUCCUACGGGAGGCAGCAGUGGGGAAUAUUGGACAAUGGGGGGAACCCUGAUCCAGCCAUGCCGCGUGUGUGAAGAAGGCCUUAUGGUUGUAAAGCACUUUAAGCGAGGAGGAGGCUACUGAGACUAAUACUCUUGGAUAGUGGACGUUACUCGCAGAAUAAGCACCGGCUAACUCUGUGCCAGCAGCCGCGGUAACAC
rnacentral:rRNA from 1 species